rnacentral:lncRNA from 1 species
UUUCAACUGAUCUCUUUCUCCUUCCAACAGUCAUAGAUAAUGCGGAUGGCUCACGUUACACUGAUGGCGUGAAACACACUGACCCAACUCCGGUUACAGAUGAUCAUGUGGGUAGUGGUUCAAUACAUGACGGAGAUACAAUGAACCCCACCAUCAUCAGAACUCACACGCCUGGCACCCCAUAUUAUGAAGAGACAACCCCAGAUGCACUGUCAACAGAUUAUUCUUCUGGGUCGGGCAAAAAGGAAUAUCAUCCCACAAGUACCAAUGAUAAUGAAAUACCCUUCGAUGACCAGCUGGGUGAAGAUUCAACUAUAGUAACUGAUGGUGUUCCUGGAAAAGACAAUGAUCAUCCUAGCAAAGGACAACAUCCCACAAGUACUAAUCUCAGCUCACAUGAUGAUGGUGCAGAUGGUGAAGACUCAACACAGGAUCCCUUAAUACCAGUAAUUUCCCUCGGAGGGGACAACAGUGAUGACAAGGAACAGCACCCUCCAAGUAGCACUGCGAACCCGCAUCAUGGUGCACAUGAGGAAACCUCCACCCAACAUGAGGGGAAUCCGUCCCCUGACAUUUGGUGGUGGUCCAGUACAGAUCACAAGGAGAAGCAUCCAACCACAGCAACUAAGGGUAAAUAAUAUGUCUUUUUAACUACUUGAG